rnacentral:rRNA from 1 species
AUGGAUGAGGUAGACUUCCUGGUGGGAAUAGGCAUGAAGGAGGAGGAUAUUGCAACAAUGCUGUUUGGAGAGAAAGUUGCUGAGCUGAGAGAAGACACAUUUGAUGGUUCUGAGAAGGAAAAACAAAUCCUUGAGGGCAUUUUUGGCAGCGGGCAGACCACUUCGCUACCAGGCGCAAUCAAAGCAUUGGUACCAGCGAGCACACCAUCCGGCUCUGCAUCCAACAACAGGAUGGUCUACUGCCGCAUAGUCGAGUCCUUUACUCACGGCAGCCUAUCAAGCUAUCAUGUCUUAUAUCAUAGCGCUAGUCAACAGAUGCAGAAUGCAAUGCCUUGUACAGAUCAUCAUGGCAGUGGCAGGCCUUCUGAAUGUGAACUCGUGGUACAAGAGACGCCACCUUCCGGUGAUCGGGUUUACACCCGCAGGGCUGUGAUACGCAGGAGCCAAAGAGCAAAACAAUGCAGUGUUCUGGAUUGGGAGAGGGUUGACAUUAACAGUGUGGUCGCACAGCGACGGGAUGGCCGUGGUGGCUUUGGAAUGCUCUGGAACCAUCUCCGGCUGCACGCACAUCUUCUGAUGAUGGACGCCGGGUGGAAGAUCGAGGGCAGGGAAAGGGGGGACAAGAGUAAGGUCGACCUCAUGUUCGAGUCGCCCGACAAAGAAAUCCGCCUAGCUUCUCUUCCUAAGGCUUGGAAAUGCUUUGGCCAGUGGUUGCUUAUUCAUUCGUCCCGAUUUGAUGGGAAUUACUACGGAAAGGAAUGGUUCAACAUGUAUGACUUUUGUUAUGAUUUGAAGAACACACUGUUAUGCUUAGAGCACGAGGUCCGGCGCCCGAAGCAAUCUCUAUCCUUCCUCCACCAGUGGCAACUCCUCGAUCCUUUCAUGGCAGUAGUUUGCAUCGAUAAGAAGGUCGCAGCUCUGCGGAACGGAGUGGCACUGAAAGCUGUGAACAGCAGAGUUACAAUCCUCAAUUGCAGCGACAUUAAGCUGUUGAGUCGCUUGAGUCGCAGGAAUGUUAACAAGCCAGUUGCGAUUAAGUAUUCAAGCAACUCUAACGACACACAUCCCAAGUCACGGAGAAGUCUUCUGCCGCUUCUUCUAUCUGAUGGCCAGCCUCACAAAGAGGAAAAUUCUCUGCACAAUGAGCAGUCUUUUAUAUUUGGAACAAGCAAGCAUAGCCAAUAUGAAGUGCAGCAAAGGUACUUGACCAUGGAAGAAAUGAAUGAAAGAAGCGUCAGAAAUAUUCCUCAUCGUAUAGUCAAAGGUUUCCAAGAUGCAACAGAGCCCAGUUCAAUGCCUACUUGCUUUAGUACAAAAAGAGAAUUUCCAUACUGUAAAAUGGUUCAGGAUACUCGAGAUGAGUUCGACCCACCAUAUUUCCCGCCUAGUUAUGCUUCAGAUCAGCUGGAUGAAAAUGUGCAAAUCAAGGGUCCAAGUUCUCAUGCCGGUGAAGCGAUGGAAAUCGCCGCCGAUAUGGGUAACUCUGCAGACAGUCCUUCUGACGAGUUGCUCAUAAGACCAGACCUGUUGUUUUCUCACGAGGUGGAUGAGAUGAUCCUUGGAACGACAGAUGGUGUCAGCAAUGAACAUCAUGCUGCUGCAAUUGUCUCUGAUUACCAAGCAGGAACUGAGGAUGGAAGGGGUGGACCUUCGUCUGGUACAUUAUCACUACCAGAAGAAACGGAUGCACGCUUAGAAGCUAUCAGAGAUGAUGUCAACAAUGAACAUGAUAUUGUUGUACCUGGAUUCCAAGCAGGAAUUGUACAUGUGAGGGAUGAACCUUCAGCUGGUGCAUUGUCUCUAUUAGCAGAAAAGGAUACACCCUUAGAAGUUAUCAGAGAUGAUAUCAACAAUGAACACGAUGUUGUUGUUGUACCUGGAUUCCAAGUAGGAAAUGAUGAUGUAAGGGGGGGACCUUCCUCUGGUACACUGUCACUAUUAAAAGCGAAGGGUACAAACUUGGAAGCUAAAGACAUGGGCUUGGAACAGAUGACAAAAACAGGAUGGGUACCAUCUGGAGCCACUGGUGGCCCAUUGAAGAUCUCCGAACCACAAGUAUUGUUUGUGUCCCCACAAGACGGGAGACUCUCUUUCAUGAACAACCGUACAUUUAAUCAAGAUACGUUGAGCUGUCUUAAUUUUUCCCAUGAUAGCAUGGGGGCAAACAUGCAGCUGGACAUCCAGACAUCUGCCUAUGAAGCGAGCUUGAUUCAGGGAUUUUUAUAUCUUGAUAGUGAGGGUUCUCCAAUUGGUUGGGAAGUCAUAAACCCAGAACCUCCUAACCAGAUGAUCUGUGGCCCUUCUUCUGAACCAAACUCAAAGGUGUCUGGACAUUGUGGUGAGCUGAACAUGCAGAAUGAAGCACGAACAUCUGAACAAAGGGAGAUAUCAGAGUCUGAUCCAAGUAAAAAUGGUAAAAAAAGGUCUGAGAAGGUUGCAGGUAUCAAAGAUGAUGCCCUUAGAAAGAAACAGAAAGUAAAUAGUGUUCAUGCAAGUCAUUGUGCAAUUGGUAAGAAUAUGGACAUUACAACUGAGGUUCCAGCUAGCUGUGUAGUUCACAAUGGGAAAGAACAGAUAGGUGCAACAAGCAGUGAGCAUGCUUCUUCGAAUCAAAAAAGGUCACAGGAGGCUGCAGAUAUCCAAGACGAAGUUCGUGAAAAGAAACAGAAAGUAAAUGAUGGUCUUAUAAGCGACUCCAUAAUUGGUCAAUGCAUGGAUGGUAGUACAGCUGAGAUUCCUACUAGGUGUGUGACACGUUGUGAGGAAGUACAGAUAAGUGCAUCAAGUAGUGAGCAAGUCCAUUUGACUCUAGUGCCCGAAAUUAAAGAGCACAAGGAACAAGCUGAAGAUAGCAGCGAACCCCCAAAACAGCUCGUGUCAGAACAACCACCCAAAAAGGAUGUCAAAUUUCGAAAGAAACAACCAUGGAGGCGUAAAUGCAGGUUUGACGAGGAUGAUCUUUUGAUGACAGCUGUAAUACAUAGGCUGACCGCGCGUUACAGGAACCAUUAUAAUCGAAUGCUCAUAAAUAGAAUUGGCUUGAAAUCUCUUCCAAGGUCUCGCCUGCAGAAUGAAAAAAAAUGCGUCCGGCAGAAGUUCCCUAAAAGUGCAAGAACGGUGUUGAGCAAAUUACUUGAGAUGGGCAUUGUUUGUACAAUGAAUAUUCUCCAGUAUAGAAGGCCAGGACCUAAGAACGUGUUGAAAGAUGGGAACAUAACCGAGCAUGGCAUAAGGUGCCGGUGUUGUGACACCAUAUUUACAAUGUCCAACUUUAGGUGCCAUGCAGGUCUCAAACAAGAAACUCUGACCCUGAAUCUUUUCUUGGGUUCUGGUAAAUCUUACAGCCUAUGUCAGCUUCAAGCGUGGUUUAUAGAGCAGAAGAAGAGGAAAGAACGUGCAAAAGAUACUAUGUCAGUACAAGCAGAUGAAAAUGAUGACACUUGUGGAUUAUGUGGUGAUGUCGGUGAACUAAUAUGCUGUGACAACUGCCCUGCUAGUUACCAUCAGGCCUGCUUGCCUUGUCAGGAAGUUCCAGAUGGCAGCUGGUAUUGCUCUAGUUGCUUGUGCAAUGUUUGUGGGGAAGUGGUCAAUUCAAAGGCGCCAGGAGGUCUCCUGCAUGCUUUAGAAUGCUCACAGUGUGAAUAUCGAUAUCACGUAAAAUGCAUAUCUGGUAAAGUUGUGUGUGAUCAGAGAAGUGGACUUGGUACUUGGUUUUGUGAAAGAAGGUGCCAGCAGAUUUAUACGAGCAUGCGUUCUCGUGUUGGAAUACCUGACCACCUCGAUGAUGGUUUUUCUUGCACCAUACUUCGUAAUAAUGAUGAUCAAAAGGUUCACUCAGCUUCAGACAUUGCUCUCCUGGCUGAGUGCAGCAUGAAAUUAAUUAUUGCUUUGAGUAUUUUGGAAGAAUGCUUCUUGCCCAUCUUCGACCCGAGGACAGGGGUAGACAUAAUGCCCCCUAUUGUGUAUAACUGGAGGUCCGAGUUUGUACAUUUGGAUUACAAGGGGUUUUAUACUGUAGUCCUGGAAAAGGAUGAUAACAUCCUUUCCGUGGCAUCCAUCAGGUUACAUGGCACAACUGUAGCAGAGAUGCCGCUAAUAGCUACUUGUUCUGAGAAUCGGCAACAGGGGAUGUGCAGGCAACUGGUGGAUUACAUUGAGGAGAUGCUGAAAUCGCUGGAGGUGGAAAUGCUGCUUCUGUUCGCGAUACCAAACAUAGUCGAUACAUGGACAUCAGCAUUCGGGUUCAGGCUGAUCGAAGAAUCUGACAAGAAGAAGCUGAGCAAGGUCAGGCUGGUCUCCAUCCCUGGAACUGUUCUACUGAAGAAGGAUCUGUAUGAAAGAAGUCCAGAAACAGAGGCGGGUGAGCUGCGAACCGAACAGCAGCAGCCAUUGGAGGACACCGGGCCGGUUUGCACAACGGAGACCAACCUCGCCGACGAACUAGGAGGCUCGGACACCAACCUGCCCCUCGCCGAUCCUCCGUCUGCUGUUGCUCUCGGGAAAUGUCAUGUAGAUUAG